rnacentral:tRNA from 1 species
GCCGGGGUGGCGGAACCGGUAGACGCGGCAGACUCAAAAUCUGCUGCCCGCAAGGGCGUGCGGGUUCGAGUCCCGCCCCCGGCACCA